AGACGCUCGGUGUUGUACGGCACAACCCUUCCAUAGAGGUCGUCCAGGAAUGUAAUGAGACACUCGGUGUUGUAUGACCCAACCCUUCCAUAGAGGUCAUCCAGGAAUGUAAUGAGACACUCGGUGUUGUACGGCCCAACCCUUCCAUAGAGGUCACCCAGGAAUGUAAUGAGACGCUCGGUGUUGUAUGGCACAACCCUUCCAUAGAGGUCACCCAGGAAUGUAAUGAGACGCUCGGUGUUGUAUGACCCAACCCUUCCAUAGAGGUCACCCAGGAAUGUAAUGAGACGCUCGGUGUUGUAUGACCCAACCCUUCCAUAGAGGUCAUCCAGGAAUGUAAUGAGACACUCGGUGUUG